CAUACGGAUAUGGCGACAAACGGGAGGGAAAUGGAUAUACACUUAAACUUAAAGUAAUUGUAUGAUGAUUUUUAGUUAACAAAAAUACAGUUUGAUUGGAGUCAAUAAUAAAAAAACAACAGAAAAUAAAUAAAAACUUUAUGCUGUGCUUAAAGAACUCCUUUGGAAAAUGACACAGCAACUUUAUGAAUAUCGUACAGUCAACAAAGUGCAUACACCUCUAUAUAUACCGACUUCUGAAAAAGAAGUCUUAACAAUAUUUGAGUUUGGACAAGACCCUUAACUUAACGUGCUGUGAAGAACGCUGUUCAGAGGAUUUUAUAAAAAUUGCUUGUGAUACUUCAAGAUGAAAUACAUGAAAACAGUUCAAUUUCUUGCCCUAAUGUUCGCCGUCCUUAUUCACGUGACAAUGAGCACUAGAGGCAGCAACAAUUGUACGUGUAGAAUAAGCAGAGAUUCCACGACAUGUGAGAUUGAAACCUCUGGUCCUAGAGCCACCAGUAGAUGUUGUUGUGCUGCAACAUUUAGAAAACAGGGAAACGGCUUCAUGGUAAAUAGAUGUUUCUCACCUGAAAUUUGUCAAGAGUUGAGAAGUAUAUAAAAAAAAUUACUUCAUCUCCACGUCAAUGGAUAGGCAGCAACAGCGAAUGACAAGAUAACAGAAACAGUUUUUGAUCAAUUUUAUUGAUAAUUUUGUUCUCCUGUUUAUGUGAAAUUUACUUAUACAUGUUUAGAAAGAUAAUGCUCACUAUGUCAAUAUUUUAUGAUUUUGAGCCUGUGAAAUAUGUGUAUUUGAUAAUUUUGUCGAAAUCUU